AGUUAUGUAGGUUAUUUAAACUUUAAACCUGUGGUGUUUAAAAUCCCCCGGGCGUAACUC
rnacentral:tRNA from 1 species